GAUUGACUUGGGGGCACCCUGACCGCAAUGCCGCGUGAGUGACGAAGGCCUUCGGGUCGUAAAGCUCUUUUGGUGGGGAAGAAUGCCCUGUCUUUAAAACGAUAGGGCCUGACGGUACCCGCAGAAAAAGCACCGGCUAACUCCGUGCCAGCAGCCGCGGUAAUACGGAGGGUGCAAGCGUUGUUCGGAAUCAUUGGGCGUAAAGCGCGUGUAGGCGGCUAUCUAAGUCUGGUGUGAAAGCCCGGGGCUCAACCCCGGAAGUGCACUGGAUACUGGAUGGCUAGAGGACGAGAAAGGAUAGUGGAAUUCCUGGUGUAGGGGUGAAAUCCGUAGAUAUCAGGAGGAACAUCAGUGGCGAAGGCGGCUAUCUGGCUCGUUUCUGACGCUGAGACGCGAAAG
rnacentral:rRNA from 1 species